GCCAAUAAAGAAAGCUUUGAGCUACUUGUUUUAUUACCGUCCUAGUAAAAGAAAACAUAUUGCAUGUGACAAAAAAACAAAACCUUCAGCUAUGCUAAUGAGAUCCGGUAAAAAGCUUCGCAUAAACCCAAGUAAAGGAACGGGCCCACGAAGAGAGAAAAAGAGAAAAGUAAAAGAAAACACUCAGCAAGCACUUCAAGUUCCAUUCAACAAGACUUCAUUGUCUUUAACAUUUGGUUGAUCUUUGGCAGCUGUGGUUGAUCUUAUUUCCUCAGAUGGCUUCAGUUCCCCAUCUUCAGAUCUGGGUAGACCAGCGGAACCCCCAGAUGAAGCAGGUAUUUUUGACCAUUCUUUAUCUACUGGCCUAUCUUGCUCAGUUAUUUGGGUCAAAGCAGCAGAUUGAUUGACAUUUCCAACCUGAAACAUCGAAGACACAAUCACUAACACAAAAUUAACCUGUGUCGAAGAAAUGACAUGCAGUAAUUACCUAAUAAAAGAAUAUUUGCAACUUUUACAUUGGUGUAACGCAUCAAAAUGAAGUAGUCACGAUUUCUCGGACCAAGAACUGAAGCAGUGUAACGCUUGGCAGGGGAGGUCGGGGAUUUACAACAGCUCUAUGUCUGUCAAUCGACUGCUGAUGGUGCAG
rnacentral:lncRNA from 1 species